UUUUAUUUAUUAUUAAUGUCAUCUGUGUGUUUUCCUCUGCAGGAUUAACUGUUAUGACGUGUUUGGAGCUCAGGCUCCAUUUGGAGGUUACAAAGCUUCAGGCAAUGGCAGAGAGCUAGGAGAAUACGGUCUUGACAACUACACAGAAAUAAAAACGGUGACCAUCAAGGUGCCACAGAAGAAUUCUUAGAUGUGCAUUGAGCCCAGGCAACAGUUGAUUGCUGUCAACCAAGAAUCAACUGAGUUACUGUGCUUUUCCUGUGAUCUGUGCAGUUAUUUUUACUGCUUUCUGUCACAUAUCCAUAAUGCAUACCUGUUGAAUCAAUCCCAUUAUAUUCAGCACUGUUUUUUGAACCGGCUAAAAAUUGACAUCUUUUAAUAAAAUAGCGGAUAGAGUUGUCCAACCUUUGAAUACAUUACUUACCAAUGAUCUCUCAAAUACCCAUAGCAGAAUAUAGAAAAUUUACAUUUUCCACCUGAUUUGAGGUAAUCGUAAAAACUAUAUAGUCACAGUCUCUGUUUGUAAUACGUGGACUUUAAGAUGUCUAAUUUUUCAUAAUAAAUGCAUUUGAGGCACUCAC